UACGUAGGACCCAAGCGUUAUCCGGAGUGACUGGGCGUAAGGAGUUGCGUAGGGGGUUAGUAAAGUGAAUAGUGAAAUCUGGCGGCUCAACCGUACAGGCUAUUAUUCAAACUCACUAACUCGAGAAUGGUAGAGGUAACUGGAAUUUCUUGUGUAGGAGUGAAAUCCGUAGAUAUAAGAAGGAACACCAAUGGCGUAGGCAGGUUACUGGACCAUUUCUGACACUGAGGCACGAAAGCGUGGGGAGCGAACCGG
rnacentral:rRNA from 1 species